rnacentral:lncRNA from 1 species
AGCAUUGCAGUGGACUCCUGAAGGGUAUUGGACCGGAAAAAGUCAUUCGAGAUGAGACCAACGUGCUUAGAACCAAAGGUUUGUUUGGGCUGAACACAGGUCUUGCCAGGCACUCAGGAUAAUAGAAUUUGGAGAAGAGAGGAGAAAUGUAAGCCCAGGCACCAAGACGAUCAGUGAAUGAGAAGGAAUGAUUAAGAGGCUGGAAGACAA